GCAGUGCAAAAGAGACCAGGCUUGCUGUCAGGAUAUGCUCAGCUCCUGUCCUAAAGGAAGCCUAUGUUUCUGGAAUGGCACUGAUUGAGCUUAUCUUUGUCGUGAGUGGUGCCUGUGUUGUCCUCUUUUGGCUGGCACACAUGUUUAUGAUGCUUGCUACAAGGGUCUGUUGGCCAAUUCCUGGGAAUUUCUUUACCUCCAUGGGAAAAUGGGCAGUCAUCACUGGAGGAUCAGAAGGAAUAGGAAGAGCUUAUGCAGACGAGUUUGCAAGAUGUGGGCUGAAUGUGGUGAUCAUUAGCAGGAGUAAAGAGAAGCUUGACAGAGCCGCAACAGACAUAGAGGUUAAAACAAACAGAAAUGUCAUGGUAAUUGUCGCUGACUUUACCAAGGAUGAUAUUUAUGGAGGCAUAAAGGAAAGUAUUCAGGGUUUGGAUAUCGCCAUUUUAGUUAACAAUGUGGGAAUUCUGCCAAGUAAAAUACCCAACAGAUUACUUGAAACUAUUCAUCUGGAAGAGAAAAUUCAUGAAGUGAUCAACUGUAAUGUCAAAGCAAUGGUCAAGAUGUGCCAUAUUGUCCUUCCUGGAAUGGUAGAAAGACGACGGGGCAUCAUCCUGAACAUUUCAUCUGGCGUGUCUAAAAUUCCUUUCCCUAUGUACACUUUAUAUUCCGCUUCAAAGGUGUUUGUUCAGCAGUUCUCACAAGGGCUUCAAGCUGAAUACAAAUCCAGUGGAAUUCUUAUUCAGAGUGUGUCUCCUUUUGGGAUCUCCACUGCAAUGACGGACUAUCAGAAACCAAGUAUGAUUACAUUCACUCCUGAGGAGUUUGUGAGGAGCUCCCUGAUGUAUCUGAACGCUGGAGAGCAAACAUAUGGCAGUGUCAACCAUGCAAUCCUGGGCUGGAUCAUCCAGGCAAUCCCCACCUGGUUUCUGAGAAGAGAAGGAUUUCACAAUAGCUUUCAGGAGUAUAUAAAGAAGCAAGCGGGCAGCUGAGUGCUGUGUUUAUAAUCUAGCAGUGAGAGAGUGCAUAUCUUGAUGCCACUUGUAAUUGUUGUUUGUAUGUCACCAUCUGAAAACCACUGCUUGGGAAGUGAAAAUUCUUCAAAGUAGCCACCAUUUACCUUGAUGCUUUGCACACUGUUGGCAUUAUCUUAAUGUAACACCUCUUUAACUUGUGGGAAACAGAGCAACUGGAAGCAGGCUUCAGAACAGGUGAGUUAUUUUUAUUUUUCCACUGUUCAGUGAUGACUAAUAUGCAUGUUUUCACACAAAUACACACAUGGGGUGACACAGCUCUCGCUCUCUUUCCUGGCCAUCUGCAAGACACACAGAGACGUAGUUUAAUAGACAGCCAGUAAUUUGACACAGGUGCACCUCAUCACAUGUUACCUGCUGGUUCAACUUGCCUCCUCGCCGUUCACAGCCAAUGCUCAACCAUGCCCCCAUUGCCACACACCCCCACCGCCUGACUCAGGCCAGGGAGCCAUCUGGCCUGUAGCUGACUCCCCCCCCCGGCGGGAGAGGUAAUCCGCCACCACCCUCUGUGCCCUUGGCCUGUGAACCACCUCAAAUUUAAAGGGCUGAAAGGCCAGAUGCCAACAAGUGAUCCUCCAUGUGGUGGAGCCACUGGAGCGGGGCAUGGUCAGAACAGAGGGUGAAUGGGCAUCCUAGCAGGUAGUACCAGAGAGUGAGGACUGCCCACUUGAUGGCCAGACACUCCUUUUCUCUUGUGCUAUAUUUUUUACUUUUGCAUGGAGAGCUUGCAGCUGAUGUACAGCACUGGAUGCUCCUCUCCCUCCACCACCUGGGACAAAACAGUCCCCAGCCCUCUGUCUGACACAUCAGUCUGUAAAAAAAAAAGUGGAGAGAAAAGUCAGGAGAAUGCAACCACGGGCCCCCCACACAAAACCGUCUUUACUUGAGCAAAAGCCUGUUCACACUGCUCCAUCCACUGGACCGGAUCUGGUGCCCCCUUUUUAGUGAGGUCAGUCAGCAGGGCUGGUGAUGUCUGAAAAGUUAGGCAUGAGCCACCUAUAAUAGCUGGCCAGCCCCAGGAACUGCCUCACCACCUUUUUGGUCUUAGGUCUCGGGCAGGCCGCAAUUGCUGCAGUCUUUUCAAUUUGGGGAUGCACCUGCCCAUGACCCAAGUGGAAGCCCAGAUACUGUACUUCCACCCAUCCAAUUGCACACUUCUUCAGGUUUGCUGUGAGCCCAGCGUGCCUCAGCGACCUCAGGACCGCCCUAAGAUGUUGUAAAUGCCGCUCCCAAUCAUUACUAUAAAUGAUUAUGUAAUUAGGCCGCCGCAUAUGCAUUGUGGGGACAGAGAAUUUGGUCCAUGAGAUGCUGAAACAUUGCUGGGGCCCCAAAUAACCCGAAAGGAAGAUUGACAAAUUGGUGUAAGCCAAACGGAGUGGAAAAGGCUGUUUUCUUGCGGGAUCAUGGAGUCAAGGGGAUCUGCCAAUAUCCCUUUGUUAAAUCCAGUGUUGAGUAAAACCGAGCCGUGCCUAACCGAUUGAGCAGUUCAUCAAUGUGAGGCAUCAGAUAUGCAUCAAAUUUAGACACUGUAUAGUCCACACAGAACCGGACCGACCCAUCGGUCUUGGGAACCAAGACUACCAGACUGCUCCAGGUGCUGUGACUCCUCAAUUACUCCCAUCUUAAACAUAGCCUGGAGUUCAUCUCAAACCACAUGGGACUAACAGCUGUGUCAUCUUUUCUUUCCUUUGAGUGUCCUGCUCCACUUGACAUAGCCUAUCCUUGAUAAUACAAAAGUACGGGAAGGAAAGCUCAAUGUUGGGCUGGAGGAUUUGGCCAUCAAUUACUUUCACUUGUUCAAAAGCAUGUCUCAGAGACUUGUCACACACCUGCUCCAAUGGGAAGUCCCCUAAGGGAUUCCCCAGAGAGGGAGGAGGGCUCUCCCCACUCUGUGUCAUCAUGAUGCGGUGCUGAUGCGAACGGCCCUGGGACCACCUCCCCAGCUAAUGUUGCAGCGGGAUUCCCCCAUGACAUGCUACUGCAGGAACCACCCACUACUAUCUGUUUCAUUAACAUUUUAAAUCCUGGCGAAUUGGUUCCCAGGAUCAGAGGGUGGGUGAGGCUCGGCCUAACCACUGCCUCCGCACUAUGCUUUUUCCAUGGAACUGAAUAGUGAUGGGCAUUAGUGGAUAUUUGUGUAUAUCACCGUGCACACACUUAACCUUCACCAAACGUUAAUUUCCCAGUGCCCUACAUUGAAUCAGGCUUUGAUGUAUAGACGUCGGAUUACAACCUGAAUCCACCAAAGCCUGCUAUGUACCCCCUUGAAUACUCACAACUAUCCUGUAUGCCCUUGCUCAAUCAGGGGAAGCCUGUGGUGCAUCGGAGAUGCGAAUCAGUAGCCUCACCUCCUUGCCAAAGCACUGAUUCCCUGACUUCCCUCCGUGCCUACAGACCUGCCCAAGCUUGCUCUCAGUUCUGGUUGGCAUGGAUGAGUUCACCUAUGGAGAGAGAGAGAGAGAGAGAGAGAGUUAAUGGUGGCACAGACGCAGAAAAAGAAGGGAGCAUAGAAACAUGAGGACAGACAUGAGUGCAGAGAGUGGGCUUUGG